GGGCGCUUGAGAGAACUCUGGUGAAGGAACUAGGCAAAAUAGCACCGUAACUUCGGGAGAAGGUGCGCUGCUGACGGUGAAGGCCUUGCGCCGUAAGCUGUUGGCAGCCGAAGUAACCAGGCCGCUGCGACUGUUUAUUAAAAACACAGCACUCUGCAAACACGAAAGUGGACGUAUAGGGUGUGACGCCUGCCCGGUGCCGGAAGGUUAAUUGAUGGGGUCAGCCGCAAGGCGAAGCUCUUGAUCGAAGCCCCGGUAAACGGCGGCCGUAACGAUAACGGUCCUAAGGUAGCGAAAUUCCUUGUCGGGUAAGUUCCGACCUGCACGAAUGGCGUAACGAUGGCGGCGCUGUCUCCACCAGAGACUCAGUGAAAUCGAAAUCGCGGUGAAGAUGCCGUGUACCCGUGGCUAGACGGAAAGACCCCGUGAACCUUUACUGUAGCUUCACACUGGACUUUGACAUGAUCUGUGUAGGAUAGCUGGGAGGCUUUGAAGUGGUGACGCCAGUUGCCAUGGAGCCGUCCUUGAAAUACCAGCCUGGUCCUGUCGGGGUUCUAACGUCGACCUGUUAUCCAGGUUACGGACAGUGUGUGGUGGGCAGUUUGACUGGGGCGGUCUCCUCCCAAAGAGUAACGGAGGAGCACGAAGGUGCGCUAAUCACGGUCGGAAAUCGUGAGGUUAGUGUAAAGGCACAAGCGCGCUUGACUGCGAGACAGACAAGUCGAGCAGGUACGAAAGUAGGUCUUAGUGAUCCGGUGGUUCUGUAUGGAAGGGCCAUCGCUCAACGGAUAAAAGGUACUCCGGGGAUAACAGGCUGAUACCGCCCAAGAGUUCAUAUCGACGGCGGUGUUUGGCACCUCGAUGUCGGCUCAUCACAUCCUGGGGCUGAAGCCGGUCCCAAGGGUAUGGCUGUUCGCCAUUUAAAGUGGUACGCGAGCUGGGUUUAGAACGUCGUGAGACAGUUCGGUCCCUAUCUGCCAUGGGCGUUGGAGAUUUGAGAAGAGUUGCUCCUAGUACGAGAGGACCGGAGUGAACGAACCUCUGGUGUACCGGUUGUCACGCCAGUGGCAUUGCCGGGUAGCUAAGUUCGGACGGGAUAACCGCUGAAAGCAUCUAAGCGGGAAGCCUCCUUCAAGAUGAGAUCUCCCUGGAGCUUCAAGCUCCCUAAAGGGCCGUCGAAGACUACGACGUUGAUAGGCGAGGUGUGGAAGCGUUGUGAGACGUUGAGCUGACUCGUACUAAUUGCCCGUGCGGCUUGACCG
rnacentral:rRNA from 1 species